rnacentral:rRNA from 1 species
UACGGAAGGCAGCAGUGGGGAAUAUUGCACAAUGGGCGCAAGCCUGAUGCAGCCAUGCCGCGUGUAUGAAGAAGGCCUUCGGGUUGUAAAGUACUUUCAGCGGGGAGGAAGGCGAUGUGGUUAAUAACCGCAUCGAUUGACGUUACCCGCAGAAGAAGCACCGGCUAACUCCGUGCCAGCAGCCGCGGUAAUACGGAGGGUGCAAGCGUUAAUCGGAAUUACUGGGCGUAAAGCGCACGCAGGCGGUCUGUCAAGUCGGAUGUGAAAUCCCCGGGCUUAACCUGGGAACUGCAUUCGAAACUGGCAGGCUAGAGUCUUGUAGAGGGGGUAGAAUUCCAGGUGUAGCGGUGAAAUGCGUAGAGAUCUGGAGGAAUACCGGUGGCGAAGGCGGGCCCCUGGGACAAAGACUGACGCUCAGGUGCGAAAGCGUGGGGAGCGAAACAGGAUUAGGAUAACC